rfam:Serratia symbiotica genome assembly, type strain CWBI-2.3T, contig: SYMBAF_Contig_5
UAGAUCCUUCUCCAGAAAAGCGAAAACUGAGUUUUUAGAGUUGUGGCCUUCGGCGCUUAGUCUGGGGGAACACAUGCCGAUACGCAGUUGUGAACUGCGAAUUUUGUCGCAUAUUGAGCAAAAGUGGAAGAGGGAGUCGGCACUAUAAACUGGGAAUGAUAAUAAGAUUUUAUUGGCGAAUUGUGAGAAUAUAAUUUGGCACAUUAAUUGUGCGCCUUUUAUCCUUGAAAAAGCCUCCCAGAGAAGGAAUAGUGAUGGAUACUGACCUGAAGAUGUCGUUGCUUGCCACGUUAUGUGUGUUGGCGGUGAUUAUUGUUUUCUGUUUCACCGCUGUGCUGAACUGACCG